CAUGUGUUAUAACAUUGAGGGUGUUACAGCACAAUGCACGGUUCAAACGAUAAGCUUUCCGCGAGUCUUAUAAUCUUCAAAGAGUUGUUCACUUAACAUACAUGUUCAGUCAUGUACAGUGUCGAGCGUACGGACAGUGAAAGAACGCGAACUCUGGCAGUGGUACAAGAGAUGAAGAUCAAGAAGAAGAUAGAGGAAUUUUUCGUUUAGAUGAGGAGGAGGCUGAUGAAAAGAAGAGGAUGCUGACGGAGAGACGAGGAAGAUGCUGACGGAGCUACGAGGAGGAUGCUGAUGGUGCUACGAAGAGGA